CCGCCUCCCCCCGCACCUUCCCGCCUCCCCCCAUCUCGCCGACAGCAGCCCCCUGCCACAGGGCUAGGGCGCCAGGCCGGGCCGAGCCAACGGCAGGCGGCAAGGCGAUGCACCAGGCGGAGCGGCCGGCGGGCAGCGGGCGACGUGGCACGCUCGGCGGAGUGGGCGGCGACGGGCAGGGAGGCGGCGCGCCGGCCGCAUGGCCGCCGUAAGGAGCUGGUCGGCGACCUCCACACGGAGCUCGAUGGCCGCCGCGAGCCAACACGCCCGGCGGAGCGGCCAGCAGGCAGCGGGGUCGCGUGCAUAUCUCUCUUCCUCUCGCCUGAACCCUAGAUCUAGGAUGGGGGCAAGGGCGGCGCGGGCGAGGGAGGCCGCGGCGGCCGGCACCGGCGAGCGGCAACCCCCUGCAAGGGCGCGCGCAAGGGCGCACACAAGGGUGCACGCCGGCCCCCCGGCGGCACGGCCAUGAUCCACGCGACAGCAACCAGGCCGCGCGGCGGCAGUCCCCAGGUCAAGGCGAACCUCUUCUUCCCGUCGGCCCUCCACCUCGCCCGCCCCCGACGCCCUCCUCCACUCCGACUCCUCCACCGCCAUCAACCGCGGCCCCCUCCUCCGACGCGCCGCCGGGGCGCGAGGCGCGGACGGAUCGAGCCUACAGAGUCCAUCCGCGUCGCCCGCCGCCACCAACCGCGUCCGUGUCUCCGGUCCUCCGCGCAGAUCCUCCCUCCGUUCUCCAGCUCGCCCUCCCCAUUCUCUCCGACUCCUCCGCCGCGACGCCAGGCGCCUUACUGCGGGCAGAGGAGCUCCAGGAGUGGUUCGUUAGAAUUGCGAUCCAGGUGUGGCUCGUCCGCUUACAGGAAGGGAGCUCCAGUUCUUCUUCGAGAUCCGGAUGCAGAUGUUCGACCCGCCCACUGAUCUCCCUCGCUGGUGUGCAUGGUGAGCGCGAUGGCAACGGGCCGUGGCCACCGGUGGCUAAAGCUGCCUCGAUGCACUGUCAUUGAAGAUGAAGCGUGAGGCAGCAGGGAGCCCGUGAUGCUAGCGUUGAUCUGCCUCAAUGUAUGUGUACUCAAAUGGGAGCUCACUUUCCUGAAUUUCUGGAAUGCUAGCGUUGAUCUACCUCAAUAUGUGGUGCUGACCGUAAUGCAUUGCUUUGUGAACCAGCCCACUCAGUCUUCAGAGACCUUUGGAAUGUAUUAAUUUGGCGGAAUAGCCAAUUUGGCCCCCGAACUAUCGCCGAAGGCUCAAAUUGACCCCUGAACUAUUAAAACGUCCAAAUUGGCCCUUAAACUUCUGAUUUCCAACUCAAUCUCGUCCAUCCUCAUGGAUUGUUGGACACGUGGACAACUCAAGAUGCAAAAAGACUCUCCUACUCCUCCUCUGGUCAUAAGAGGAGGCUAAUAUCCUUUGGAGAGAGUGCUCAGAAAUCUGCGAAGUCAGGUGCUUAGAAAUUUGUCAAGUCAAGUGCUCAAGCAUAUGCAAAGGCAUCAGCUCGAGGUAAUGCAUCUGUUGUUAUUGAGACCAAUGCUGGUACUACUUCCUCGUAUGAAAAAGCAACAGUCAAUGUACAAAGUGGACGAGCCUCUGCAAAAAUUGAAUCCAAUUCACUUGGUCGUGGAUUAGCAUCCGGCCAAGCUCAUCCUAGAAGAAAAAGGAAGCCCGCUGCAUUCAAAGAACAGGAUGAAGUAGUUUCAGAUAUUAUUUGGAAGAUAAGAAUGGUGGUGGAAUCUCUGCAUUGAUUUUGUAGGGAUUGCAUUGAUAAAUCUAUGCGGCUUGGGUACGUUCCUAGAUAUUAUCUGUUAAGACUGAAGUACAUUUAUGUUGGUCAGCUCUCCAUCCCAAGCAAAAACAUGCAAAGAUAGCAGGCCCAAGCUUGUUGCUGGUUCCCCAGAAGGAUUUCCUGGUCAUGUUGAUGGGAAGGUUCGAGAGGCAAGGAUGAACUAUCCAAUGGGAUUUACAGUGGCUGACAGGGGUAACAUCUAUGUGGCUGAUGCCAUGAACAUGGCCAUUAGAAAGAUCAGUGGUACAGACUUAUCUGCAUUUUUAGAGCUGUUUUCAGCGUCAUUCAGUGCUUACCCUGCAUGCGGCUAUGGAAGCGUACCUGGUGGCUCUGUUCAAGGAAACAAUACUGUGAGAGGGCUUAGGUUCUCUGCUAUCCUAUCCUAGGAUAUUAAGGAUCCAAAUGAUACUAUGAAAUUAAACUGUGUAAAUGAUGUACUCUCUUGGUUUGAUGAUGCUUGUAAAAACUCCAGUUAUGGACUUGUGGUUGGUGAUGAUGGGACAUUUAGAACCUGUGCUUAUUUUGUAAAUAUGUAAUUUAUUCGUGGCGUUAGCA